rnacentral:tRNA from 1 species
GGGCGGUUGGCGCAGCUGGUUAGCGCGCCACGUUGACAUCGUGGAGGUCACAGGUUCGAACCCUGUACCGCCCACCA